GUGAGGAAUUUUCCGCAAUGGGCGAAAGCCUGACGCAGCCAUGCCGCGUGAAUGAUGAAGGUCUUAGGAUUGUAAAAUUCUUUCACCGGGGACGAUAAUGACGGUACCCGGAGAAGAAGCCCCGGCUAACUUCGUGCCAGCAGCCGCGGUAAUACGAAGGGGGCUAGCGUUGCUCGGAAUUACUGGGCGUAAAGGGCGCGUAGGCGGACAGUUUAGUCAGAGGUGAAAGCCCAGGGCUCAGCCUUGGAAUUGCCUUUGAUACUGGCUGUUUUGAGUACGGGAGAGGUGAGUGGAACUCCGAGUGUAGAGGUGAAAUUCGUAGAUAGUCGGAAGAACACCAGUGGCGAAGGCGACUCACUGGCCCGUUACUGACGCUGAGGCGCGAAAGCGUGGGGAGCAAACAGGAUUAGAAACCCCUGUAGUCC
rnacentral:rRNA from 1 species